AUUGAACGCUGGCGGCAUGCUUUACACAUGCAAGUCGAACGGUAACAGCACUUCGGUGGCUGACGAGUGGCGAACGGGUGAGUAAUACAUCGGAACGUGCCUAGUAGUGGGGGAUAACUACUCGAAAGAGUAGCUAAUACCGCAUGAGAUCUAAGGAUGAAAGCAGGGGACCUUCGGGCCUUGCGCUACUAGAGCGGCUGAUGGCAGAUUAGGUAGUUGGUGGGAUAAAAGCUUACCAAGCCGACGAUCUGUAGCUGGUCUGAGAGGACGACCAGCCACACUGGGACUGAGACACGGCCCAGACUCCUACGGGAGGCAGCAGUGGGGAAUUUUGGACAAUGGGCGCAAGCCUGAUCCAGCAAUGCCGCGUGCAGGAUGAAGGCCUUCGGGUUGCAAACUGCUUUUGUACGGAACGAAAAGCCCUCUUCUAAUACAGGAGGGUCAUGACGGUACCGUAAGAAUAAGCACCGGCUAACUACGUG
rnacentral:rRNA from 1 species